rnacentral:rRNA from 1 species
CCUGGGAAACUGGGUCUAAUACCGGAUAGGACCUCAAGACGCAUGUCUUCUGGUGGAAAGCUUUUGCGGUGUGGGAUGGGCCCGCGGCCUAUCAGCUUGUUGGUGGGGUGACGGCCUACCAAGGCGACGACGGGUAGCCGGCCUGAGAGGGUGUCCGGCCACACUGGGACUGAGAUACGGCCCAGACUCCUACGGGAGGCAGCAGUGGGGAAUAUUGCACAAUGGGCGCAAGCCUGAUGCAGCGACGCCGCGUGGGGGAUGACGGCCUUCGGGUUGUAAACCUCUUUCACCAUCGACGAAGGUCCGGGUUUUCUCGGAUUGACGGUAGGUGGAGAAGAAGCACCGGCCAACUACGUGCCAGCAGCCGCGGUAAUACGUAGGGUGCGAGCGUUGUCCGGAAUUACUGGGCGUAAAGAGCUCGUAGGUGGUUUGUCGCGUUGUUCGUGAAAUCUCACGGCUUAACUGUGAGCGUGCGGGCGAUACGGGCAGACUAGAGUACUGCAGGGGAGACUGGAAUUCCUGGUGUAGCGGUGGAAUGCGCAGAUAUCAGGAGGAACACCGGUGGCGAAGGCGGGUCUCUGGGCAGUAACUGACGCUGAGGAGCGAAAGCGUGGGGAGCGAACAGGAUUAGAUACCCUGGUAGUCCACGCCGUAAACGGUGGGUACUAGGUGUGGGUUUCCUUCCUUGGGAUCCGUGCCGUAGCUAACGCAUUAAGUACCCCGCCUGGGGAGUACGGCCGCAAGGCUAAAACUCAAAGGAAUUGACGGGGGCCCGCACAAGCGGCGGAGCAUGUGGAUUAAUUCGAUGCAACGCGAAGAACCUUACCUGGGUUUGACAUGCACAGGACGCGUCUAGAGAUAGGCGUUCCCUUGUGGCCUGUGUGCAGGUGGUGCAUGGCUGUCGUCAGCUCGUGUCGUGAGAUGUUGGGUUAAGUCCCGCAACGAGCGCAACCCUUGUCUCAUGUUGCCAGCGGGUAAUGCCGGGGACUCGUGAGAGACUGCCGGGGUCAACUCGGAGGAAGGUGGGGAUGACGUCAAGUCAUCAUGCCCCUUAUGUCCAGGGCUUCACACAUGCUACAAUGGCCGGUACAAAGGGCUGCGAUGCCGUAAGGUUAAGCGAAUCCUUUUAAAGCCGGUCUCAGUUCGGAUUGGGGUCUGCAACUCGACCCCAUGAAGUCGGAGUCGCUAGUAAUCGCAGAUCAGCAACGCUGCGGUGAAUACGUUCCCGGGCCUUGUACACACCGCCCGUCACGUCAUGAAAGUCGGUAACACCCGAAGCCAGUGGCCUAACC